rnacentral:ncRNA from 2 species
AUAGGGUCAUAUGACUGACGGAAGUGGAGACAACCACAUGGAGUAUGACUAUUCGAAUGCCGACCGUCUGGGCGAUGAUG